AAGUUAUUAAUUGCAAGGUUAAUAUCCAGUUAUGUUAGUUUCAAUAUUUGCUCGACACCUUAACAAAAAAACUUAACUAACAUCCCGAGCUAGACUAUGAUAUCAAGUUUUACAUAACAUUCUUAGCAAAAUAAUAAUGAGCUUGUGUAUCUUCCAAACUUGCAUCUUGACUUGUAGCUUCAAUCUUCAAAACCUAUAAAUACAAAAUUUUGAAAAGACGAUGAAUAAUUAUUGGUAAAACAAUGUAUAUGUUAAUUUACAAUAGUAAUGGUUAAGCCGCUUACCCCCAAAAGGAGUCAAAAUUCAUCAGGUGUUAUCCAGCAAUAUCAACAAGGCUACAUGAAUAUAGAAAGUUAAUUAGAAAAAAUUUGGAACGAUAAAUCAAACUUCGGUCAGAUUGACCACUGUCUAUACAUAGUCCUUUUUUUCUCUCUUAUCAUUCACAAAUUAUCAAACAUAUCUGUCAGAUUCAGAGCCAAAGUCACCACUCCACUCAAGGAACAAGCCUUAGAUUGUAUACUUGAAACACAAACUUUGGGAGUAAAUUUAUACUUGUCAGGAACUAAGAGAGUCGAACUUCAUUCACAUAAAUCAAGUGAUAACAUGUUGACUAAUUAAAUCUAAGAACAAUUACAAAUAUAAGGAGAAAGAUCAGAACACUACUGCUGAGAUAGUGAUAAUGAUCUAUUAUGGAAAGGAACAACAUGAAAGUUUGGUCGGAAGGAAUGGUGAUAAUGAUCUAUUAUUACCUACUACUAAGAUGACCAAGGUGGAAAGGUUACAAGGAGAUGCCAGGGAUCUAUUAUACAGCUACUACUGGUUCAUUGAAUGUUGCUACUGAUCUAGUUGUUACUUCAAACAAGAUUGUGCAGCCUAUGAAUGGUGUUUCACAGGUUGUGAAUGCAAGUUUGGAGACUACUAGUACUGUGAAUGGAACAGGAGUGAAUGUUACAGUUGCUACAGGUGAUAAGGCAGGGACCAAGGAUGCUAAGCUGCCUACAAAUUUGGUUGAGAAUCAGACUACUGCUGGUAUUCAAGCAGCUCGUUUGAAUGCACCUACGGAUCGUGCUGCUUCUAGGUUUGGUGCUACUAAUUGUGCUACUAAAGGUGAUACUGGAUUUCAUGACAAGGGAGAUGAUCGUGAAGUACUACACGAUUUCCAGGAGUAAUUGUGAAGCUAUAGGGAAUGCUGGUGGACUAAAGAAUGUCGAUAAGGUUUGGUCAGUUGUAUCACCUUGCAAAAGGGCUGCUACAGAUCAUAAAAAGCAGGAAUUUGCAGCAGCAAAAUAUUAGGUGUACUAAUUCUUUUGAUGCUUUGGUCAUUGAACAAGAAGAUGGCGAGAAUGAUGCUCGGUAGAAUAGUAGUAUUGUGUGCAAGUGCACAAGCUGGUCCCGAGACCACUGCUACAAAAAAUAAAAAUAUUGAUGCAGGCAUGCCCACUUCUAGAGGAUAUUUUAACAUUACUGCUUCAAGUUUAUGAUACUUAGUUGAAGUAAAAGAUAGAUGUACCUAAACAGAGAAAUAAAAGAAAGUUUGUACACUUCCAAUAGCUAUUCAAUGACAUUGAUUACCAUAGCAAGAAAGAAGACACAGUAAGAGUAAUCUGAGUAGUUCUUAUAUUCCAAUUCCUUAAAAUUUCGCCACCUGAUACAACCAUUUAUCAAUCAUUUUUUGCACCAUCUCCUAACCUGUCCCUAAUAGAUAAAAUAAAACUCAAGAAAAUCCCCAAAUAAAGGACAAGAAAAAAGAUCUAAAAGAAUCAGAGAAAGUUUUAGUACUUCAUCAGUUUCUGGAGAUAACAUAUACAUAUUACACUUGAGGAACUAGCUACUUAGUAAAUUUAUAGGAUAUCAAAAGAAUUUGAUAACUUUUAUUAUUAUUAUUAUUAUUAUAGAGAAUUUGAUAAUUUUCUCUGCCUCCUAAAAAUAUUUGAAAAUAAAAAAAACUUGAUAUUUUUCCUUAAGUUGUCCUAGCAAUGCUUACAUAAUCACCACGCAGAAAUAAUAAAACAUCGACUUUGUAAUGAGAUUAUGGCAUCUAAUUUCUUUUUCUACUCGGAAAUCUGGAGAAAAAAAUCAGGAUAUCAAAUAAGGUUAAUUUAGCACUAAAAUUUAAGGUUGUCACUACUGCAAAGUUGUUUUUCUUAAUUUCCAAAUACAAUCAUCUCAUGGUUGAUAUAAAAAUUAUCUGCUUCCACAGUAUUGGAAAAGGAAAAUCUCUUGAACUUAAUAUUACUUCGAAUAUAUAAUAUUUAGUAAUAUAAUGUUCAUCAGAUCAGAGGAUACAAUAUCUUCUAUUGGGUGAAUAAUAAUUAAUUGUUUGAUUUAUUUAAUUUUCUGUCCAUCUACUAAAAAUUGCUUGCUUAUACGACAGAAUGCAUGACAUUGCAACUAGAAGGAAGUAAAUGUUAACUGUCUUUGACCACAUUUAAGUUGUUUUAACCACUGAAUUUGGAGGUCUAUUGGAGAUGCUCCCCACAAAUAAUGAGUGGCCACACACGAAAUUUGUAAGCAUAAGUUCUGCCAGAUGAUAAACUACAAAUUGACCAAACAAUUCUAGCAACAAGAAGGGAAAAAUGGCAUAUGCAGUAGACAAAUCAUAUCCUGAGGCUCAUUUUACUCAGGUUCAGAACAAUAGCAUAUGCAGUAGUAAUUUCAUAUGUAAAAUAGCAGUUAGACUCACACAUAUAAUUGACUGAUAUAACAAAAUACCUGCAACAAACAUAACUAAUCAACUAAAUUAGUAAUUUGACAUCUAUCACAACAUAGCCACAUUUCACAGUAAUAUACUUUCCAGUUUCAUCACGCUUAAAAUGCACAGGCAUACUCUUAACUACAUUUGUUACCUCAAUAGCUACCUACAUGUGAUUCAACUUUUCUUGUUUAAUAUCAUUCCACGAUGAUACUCCCAAAUGACAUAUAUUGCUUAAUAUCAUUCCACGAUUAAGUAGGCUUCAUCAAGCCGAUUGUCAACAAGUUGCAUCCAUUGCUUACUAGGUGCCAUAACGUUGGAGAGUAGAUAAAAAUUAGAUUAAAAAAAGAUAAAUGACAAGGAAAAUACUAAGAUGAACACAACUUAUAACGAUUAGAUGCACAGUUGUGUUGAACUCUAAGGUCGCAAUAGGUGAUUAGGCUCUUUUUUUUCAGUUAAUGCUUUGUAUUGUACAAUCAAAUGGAACUAAGAUAAAUAAAAUAUUAUAAAUCAACUUGUAAUUAAGAUGCUAGCUCCUGAAACAUGUAUACAUGGUUCCUUCUGGCCUGCCCCAAGAUCGAAGUAAGUACUUAAACCCAAAAAAAUGCAAACAAUAUAAUUUGCGACACAAGAUCAUCAAAAAUAUCGAUAGCAACUAAAAAUACUGUUUGUUAGUAAUUGGUGUGAGAUCGUGAAUUUCUCUGAACUAUUGCUCAUGUUAUGGAAAAGACAAAAUAUGAAGACUCUGACAUCAAAUUGAAAGAACUCGAUCCAAAAUACCACUUCUCUUGCCAAUUCACAGCUGAUUCGGUUGCAAUGAAUUCAGCAGAUUUCAUUAUCACAAGCACAUAUCAAGAAAUAGCUGGAAGGUAAGAAUUGGAACUACGAAAGCAGAGAGCUAAUAAGUGUUGCGGAAGCCAAAUGUAUAUAGUGUGAAUAAGUCACAACUACUAUACCAAAAAUUAUGACAGCCACCAAAUAAGACAAUAAAGCAACAUUAAAGGAAACACCAAAAUUUACGAGGUUCGGCUAAUUUUGCCUACUCCUCGGACACAACCAAUAUUUUAUUCCACUCCAAAAAUACAAGUGAAAUAAUACUAAAGAGAGAAGAUACAAAUGCCUUAAACAGAUGAGAAGGCAAAUGAGAGGUGUGUCUAAAUCCUAAACAAGCCUCCUUUUAUAGGAAAAAGUUCCCCACCAACUCCUUAACCCACCGAUGUGGGAUGGAAAUUUGACAUAUAAUUCAACAAAUCUCCACCUUGGCAAAAUUCCACAUCUUCAAUUUUCUCUCGGUAACAAAUUUUGGUUGUGUCUUCAUCUUCAAUCUUCAGUGUUCAACAAUGUUGAUCAAAUCCAAACAAUGUUGAAACUUGAUCGUAGUCACCAUCUUUGUCAGCAUAUCAGCAGGAUUCUCUGUAGUAUGAAUUUUUUUCACCGUGACUCCACCUUCUUCUAUGAUUUCUCGUACAAAAUGAUACCGAAAAUCAAUGUGCUUCGUCCUUGCAUGAUAAACUUGGUUCUUCGCUAACUGAAUAGCACUUUGACUAUCACAAAAAAUUGUGAUACCUUUUUGUUCAACACCAAGCUCCUUUAGCAAUCCUUGAAGCCAAAUUGCCUCUUUUUCACAGCCUUUGUAAUAGCCAUGUACUUUGCCUCUGUUGUAGACAAAGCAACUGUUGACGGCAAAGUAGACUUCCAACUAACUGGUGCCUUUGCAAAAGUAAACACAUAACGAGUAGUUGAUCUUCGUUUGUCCAGAUUACCCGCAAAAUCUGAGUCACAAUAUCCAACUACAGACUGAUUGUCUUCCUGCUCAAAAACUAACCCGACAUCUACAGUAUUAUGAAUAUACCGUAGAAUCCACUUCACAUCUUGCCAAUGCUCCUUCCCUGGAUUGUGCAUACAUCUGCUAAUAACUCCAACAGCUUGUGAAAUGUCAGGCCUUGUGCAAACCAUUGCAUACAUCAGCUACCAACAGUAUUUGCGUAUGGUACCUUUGACAUAUACUCUCGUUCAGUUUCAUCCAUUGGCGACAUAGUAGUACUUAGCUUAAAAUGGGAAGCAAGUGGAGUAUUAACUGGCUUAGUCUUGUCAUCUAUGCCAAAACGUUGAAGUACUCUCUUCAAAUAUUCCUUUUGAGAUAAACAGAGUUUCUUUGAACGUCUAUCUCUAAUUAUCUCCAUGCCAAGAAUUUUCUUUGCCUCACCCAAAUCCUUCAUCUCGAACUCCUUCUUCAGUUGAAUCUUCAACUUAUCAAUUUCUUCCGAAUUCUUGGAAGCUAUUAACAUAUCAUCAACAUAUAGGAGAAGAUAUACAAAGGAACCAUCUUUAAGCUUGUGCAAAUACACACAAUGAUCGUAUUUGCUUCUCUUGUACCCUUGCCGCAACAUAAACUCGUCAAAUCGCUUGUACCAUUGUCUAGAAUAUUGUUUCAAUCCGUACAAUGAUUUUUCAAGUUUGCACACCAUAUUUUCUUUUCUAGUAACUUUGAAUCCUUCUGGUUGAGUCAUGUAGAUUUCCUCCUCCAAGUUUCCAUGUAAAAAUGCAGUUUUUACAUCCAUCUGAACUAGUUCCAAAUCCAAUUGUGCUAGCAAAGCCAACAUAAUUCUAAUGGAGGAAUGUUUUACAACUGGAGAAAACACUUCAUUGUAAUCAAUUCCCUCCUUUUGAGCAUAUCCUUUGGCCACCAAUCUUGCUUUGUAGCGAACAUCUACUUGGUUAGGAAAUCCUUCUUUCUUUGCAAAUACCCAUUUGCACCCAAUUGCUUUCUUUCCCUUCGGGAGAUUGGCCAAUCUCCAUGUAUAAUUCUGAUGAAGGGAAUGUAUUUCAUCAUUCAUGGCAAUCCUCCACUUAUCUUCUUCUAAACUUUGGACAGCGUCUUUAUAAAUGGUCGGAACAUCAUCGGCUACAAUUGAGGUUGCACAAGCAAGCGUCUCUAUGAGACGAACAGGUUUCGUUAUUGUUCUUUUUGGCUUGCUGGUUGCUAUUGAUUCAAGUUGUUGUUGAGGUUCCUGAGUUGGAAUCUCCUCUACUGGCUCUCCUUCCAGAGGGUAAUCUUCAUUUGUUUCCUCCUCUGCUUCUUGUGUAGGAAAAAUAAAUUUUCCCUCAAACUCCACCUGCUUAGAAGCACCUUUAUUUUGUUUGGUAUCUUCUGUUACCUUAUUUACCAUAGCAGAUUCAUCAAAGGUAACAUCCCUGCUGAAUAUUACUUUUUUUGUCAUAGGACACCAUAAGCGAUAUCUUUUGACUCCAGCAGUAAUUCCCAUAAAAAUAACCUUCUUUGCCCUUGGAUCCAAUUUUGACUCUGUCACAUGAUAAUAUGCAGUUGAGCCAAACACGUGCAAAGAGUCAUAAUCUACAGCAGGCUUUCUAUACCAUUUUUCAAAUGGUGUCUUGCCAUCAACAUCAGCAGAUGGUAAGCGAUUAAUGAGGUGGNNNNNNNNNNNNNNNNNNNNNNNNNNNNNNNNNNNNNNNNNNNNNNNNNNNNNNNNNNNNNNNNNNNNNNNNNNNNNNNNNNNNNNNNNNNNNNNNNNNNNNNNNNNNNNNNNNNNNNNNNNNNNNNNNNNNNNNNNNNNNNNNNNNNNNNNNNNNNNNNNNNNNNNNNNNNNNNNNNNNNNNNNNNNNNNNNNNNNNNNNNNNNNNNNNNNNNNNNNNNNNNNNNNNNNNNNNNNNNNNNNNNNNNNNNNNNNNNNNNNNNCCCAAUGAAGGUGUUUUGGAAGGACCCCAAACAUCAGAGUGUACAUAAUCCAAAAUGCCUUUAGUAUUAUGGAUCGUUGUACCAAAUUUAACCUUUGUUUGUUUCCCUUUAACACAAUGCUCACAAAACUCCAAGUUGCAAGCCUUGACUCCUUUUAACAAUCCUUGAUCUGAUAGAGUUUUCAAGGAUUUUCCUCCAGCAUGUCCCAAGCGCAUGUGCCAUAGCUUGGUUGCUUCUGCCUCUUUGUCAUUACUGGAUGUCACUGUCGCUGUCCCAAUAACUGUACUACCACGAUAGCGGUACAUAUUAUUGUUCUUCCGAUUAGCCUUCAUUACCACUAGUGCACCUGAGCAUACUCUCAUCACUCCAUUUUCUACAAUGAUUUUGAACCCUUUUGAUUUAAGGGCUCCCACAGAGAUGAGAUUCUUCUUCAAGUCUGGUACAUAUCGAACAUCUGUUAAUGUUCUGAUCAUUCCAUCAUGGUUCCUUAAUCGUAUUGAACCAAUCCCAUAUGAGGUAAGAGGGCUGUUAUCCGCUGUGUGAAUGAUUCCAUAUUCUCCUUCUUGAAAAUCCACGAACCAGUCCCUGUUGGGACACAUAUGAUAGCUACAAGCCGAGUCCAUCAACCAUAUGUCUGAUGGUGUUGAUGACUCUGUUGUAACUAAUGAGAAGUCUGGAUCAUCACAAUCAGCUACAUUUGAAUCCAUAAUGGCCUUUCCAUUAUUAUAUUUGGACUUAUUCUUCAACUUCGGACAGUCUUUCUUCCAGUGCCCUUUUUCUCGACAAAAGGCACAUUCAUCUUUGCUGGGUCUGGAUCUUGACUUGGAUCUUCCCUUCUUUGUCCUCGUUUGAUUUUGAGGACGACCCCUCACAAACAGUGUUUCUCCUUCUCCGCCCUUCUGUUUUUCUCGCUUUCUUUGUUCAUAACUGUACAAAGCCGAGCAAACUUCUCUGAGAGAAACUUCGUCAUUUCCAUGGAGUAGAGUAGUUUCAAGGUGCUCGUACUCAUCAGGAAGUGACGCCAACAACAUCAAGGCCAAGUCACCAUAAUCAUAAUUUGUAUCCAUAUUUUGCAAAUCUGUGACCAACUUAUUGAAACUGGUGAUAUGUUCCUUCAUCGUGGUACCAGGAACAUAGGUGAAGUGAAAUAGUCUCUUCUUCAUGUACAAUUUAUUUUGACUGUUUUUCUUCAAAAAUUUAUCCUCCAGUGCUUUCCAUAAUUUACUUGUAGAAGUUUCCUUUAUGUAUGGAUAUUUCUGCUCUAUAGCAAGGUAGGAUCGAAUGGUACCGCAAGCAACACGGUUGAUAAUUCUCUAAUCUUCUUCUCCAAUAACAUCUGGUUUCUUUUCUUCAAUGGCCAGAUCUAGCCCUUGUUGAAAAAGGACAUCUAGAACCUCGCCUUGCCACAUCCCAAAAUGUCUAGACCCGUCAAAAAUUUCUACCGCAAAUUUCGCAUUUGACACAAUUCUUGUCAUAAGCGAAGAUGCCAAUGAUGACGUAUUUUUGACUCUUGAUGUAGAUUCUUCUUGUUUAUUGUCUCCCAUAUUUGACACAAAUAUUAUUUAAUAACUGACGACACAAAUCAAGAUUAUUUCCUUUCUGAUGUAGAAGAUCAGACUAAGCUGCAACUACAGAGCAUACUCAGACAGAACCUUGACUCAGUUACCAAGAUAAAUCUUUUCUGAUGUGGAAGAUCAGACUAUGCUGCAACCACAGAGCAUACCUAGACAGUACCUUGGCUCUGAUACCAAUUGUUGCGGAAGCCAAAUGUAUAUAGUGUGAAUAAGUCACAACUACUAUACCAAAAAUUAUGACAGCCACCAAAUAAGACAAUAAAGCAACAAUAAAGGAAACACCAGAAUUUACGAGGUUCGGCUAAUUUUGCCUACUCCUCUGACACAACCAAUAUUUUAUUCCACUCCAAAAAUACAAGUGAAAUAAUACUAAAGAGAGAAGAUACAAAUGCCUUAAACAGAUGAGAAGGCAAAUGAGAGGUGUGUCUAAAUCCUAAACAUUAAGCCUCCUUUUAUAGGAAAAAGUUUCCCACCAACUCCUUAACCCACCGAUGUGAGAUGAAAAUUUGACAUAUAAUUCAACAAUAAGCAGGCACUCAUAUAUAUUUCAAUAUCGCUCUUUCACUAUCAUCGAAUACACACCACUACUUAGUGAGUGUAUUUGCUCAAAAGUUUGCAAAUUUAUGGAUCUCAUUCUUGAAUACUUCAACAUAUGCAGUAAAAACUCAGAACAAAAUUGUGAAACCUUUUACCAAUUUAAUAUUAGAGAAGAAGAAGAAGUAGAAUAUAGCAAAGCAGUAAAGGAAAUUCCAAACGAGUAACUCAGAAGAGCAAGGUUGAAAAAGGAAGAAAAGGAGCAACUCAAAAGAUGAGGCAUACCUGGAUUCACAAACGGAGGUUGAAAACUAGGGUAGACCUUCGAUUCACAAAUCAACAAAUUCGUAACCUUUGCUUUGAAAAAAACAAAAAUUUUGAGAGAUUGAUAGAGGGAGGCAGAGCAGCUGCGUGCGCUAUUGCGUUUUGAGACUAGGGCAGAUCGA
rnacentral:lncRNA from 1 species